AAUAGCCUUCAUACAUUGACUUUAGGGGGAAGCCUCAGAUUGAGGGAUCUGACAUGGGUUAUUCUAGCUCCAAAUUUGACGUGUUUGAAUGUGCAAGUGAACGAGCAUAUAGAAGAGAUAAUAAGUGUUGAAAAGUUAGAUGAUGUUCAAGUUGGGGAUGAAAAUUUUAACCCAUUUUUUAAACUCCAAGUGCUCAGGUUGCUUUUUUUACCACAACUGAAAAGCAUAUAUCCCAAUGCCUUGUCCUUUCCCUCUCUAGAAAAAAUCGAAGUAAAUGAAUGCCCACAGCUUAAGAAGCUGCCAUUAAACUCGAGCAGCGCAAAUGGAGGCAAAGUUGAGAUUAGAGCAGAGGAACAAUGGUGGAAAGAUGUUGAAUGGGAGGAUGAUUCUACUAAAACUACCUUUCUACCGUGCUUUGUGCAUGCUCGCUACCAUUGGGGAUGAGCUGGCAAACUAUGGAAUGGUGCUGUGAGAGCAAAUGCUGCAUUUGGCUUUGGAUGCUGUGUUGGUGGAUGUGUUACAGCCAAAUGGAGUGAUUUUGGUACUCAAGUAUGAGGACUGCAAUUCUUGCGCAUUUUCUGUUACUGCAUGCGUAGCUUUUUUGCUUUGAUUUUAUUUUGAGAUGUUUUCUUCGAGUUUGUGCCCAGUCAAUGCCUUCUACCUGAAAUUAAAGUUGAGUUUGCUUA